rnacentral:misc_RNA from 1 species
AUUGUUUCCAGCACUGGCCGUGUUAGGAAGUCUCUACCGCCAUGCUGUAUGUAGACAGACAGGGACGGACCUGUGGCUUCAUGGAUCUAGAAGAUCCUGAACAAAACAGCCGCUUCUUCCGUCGGUAUUUCUUGAUUGACCAAGACAAAGGCAUGUUCCUCUGGUACAUGGAUAAUCCUUCUAAUCUACCGGACGGAACAGCACAUGUAGAUGCCAUACAGUUGUCAUUGAUUUCAAAUGCGAGAGAUGCCAGUAAACAAAGACCAAAAGUACAAUUCUGCUUUGUGGUGAGUGUACCUUCAAGGAAUUACUACUUCAAAGCUGACAAUCAGCAGGAUCUAGAGGAGUGGGUGCAAAGUCUAAACAAGGCUUGCAGAGUCACGGUGCCCGUGACUGACCCCUCCAAGGUGGCCGCACCGCUCAAGCUGGACCUCAGCAAAGCCAACAGUCAAGCCAACUCGUCCCCUAAGUCCCCGGUCCGGGGGUUGAGCUACACGACGGAGAUCGUCGGGGGAGUGGUUCACCGAAAAGCUGUGGAGACCGCACACAGUGAUACAGACAGUGAGGAUGAGAGCGCCGGUCUCAGGACCCGAUCCUGGCCCCGGUCUGUCUCCCCUACCGGUGGGGACGACAAAAGUCUGACCAGAAUAUUCCCGGGGAGAAACGUGAUCAAGGCCGGCUGGUGUGUCAAGCAAGGAGCAUUGAGGAAAAGUUGGAAGAGGAGAUUUUUCAUUUUGGAUGAGCAAGGGCUGGCAUACUACAAAUCCUCAACGGAUAAACUUCCCUUGAAGACAAUAUCAAAGAAGGACAUUACCGUCGCCAGGAUAUCGGAUAUAGGACCAACUCUUCAAAGAGACAACUUGUUAGAAAUAGUCAGCUCGUCAAGAACGUUUUUUGUACAGGCUUACUCCCCCGAUGACAUGGCCGAGUGGAUCAACUCUAUCAACGAAGUCAAAAACCCCAAACGAGCCAGCGCCCCGCAAGCAAGUCAAACUUCGUAUUGUGAUGAGGAGGAACCCGAAGAUUAUGUGUAAUCGUCAUGUACCUCCCUAGAAAGUAAUUAACAUCAACCGUUGAGCAAUGUUCAUGCCCUGCAUAUUCAACACUAACUCUCGCUCUGAAAUUCGCCCUGGUCUCCAAACUCCUGGACAGUAAGCGGAACGCGCCGGGCGACGGCAAAGUCAAGUCGCCACGGACCCCUCAAGGAAACGAGCACACCGUCAGAUACGUUAAACCGCACAACAUCGAGAUCCG